CUGUGCCUGAGGGAGGGGCCGUGCUCUGCCCUCCCCUGUGGGGCUGUGUGGGAUGAUGUUGCUGUGGAAACUGUGUGUUCCAUGGUGCCUGUGACAUUUGUGAGGGUGAAGUCAGGCAAGAAAUAUGUGAAAGACUUGCAAUAGGUAAUAUGUAUCUGACAUGGAAGGCCACAGGAAGCUGAGAGACCCAGACUGGAGGUAAGGAGGGAGAGCAACAUGCUAAAUGUAGGAUGAGCCCUUUUUAGGCUAUAUCUCCAUUUUAAUUUGAUUUGGAUUUCUACUGUGCAUACCUGCAGAUGCCUCACUGGGUGGAUACUGAGCUUCAGGGCAUUUUGAACUUUGAGCUAAGUACAGCUGCAAGGUGCCCUGGCAUGCAAAGGUGUCACUUGUGCCAUUGUGCUGCUUGAUGUGGAAGUUUUCUGAAUCUUAAGGUGGUGUAUUAAAAUUUUCCCAUUUUCCUGCAUAUCAUAAUACAAUUUGAGUUGGAAGGGAACUCAAAGGUCAUCUAGUUCAACCUCUGUGUGUGUGUUUUGUGGAAGCUGUUAUGCAGGUGUGUGCAAUUCACCUAUCAGGUUAGACAGAGUUUAUGCCACUUUUGAAACUUCUGUUAAGGAGCCAGUGCUGGUUUCCUUCAUUUCAAAGAUUAACAGAGGGUAAUUGUUGUAAAGAGCACAAUAGUGCAGUGUACUUCCACCUGUGAUCUCUAAUCUGACUGGACUGCGAGUGAGCACAGAGGCGUCAAAACAUUAUCUGUGAAAUGUUUGCCAAAAACCGAAGUGCUGACAGGGUUAGCUGGAAUCUGGCUCCUGGUGAUUGUUAGCACUUGCUGGCAACAACAGCUACAAAUUGCUAGAAAUUGCCAGCAAGCUUUUUUAAUGCUGAACUUCCAACGCUGUGAACCAGACAUUUUCUCUUUAACCUGGUGUUAAGUACUGUGGGGUUCAUGUUUCCAGCAAAGAAUGAGGACAACACCUACUCUUAAAGCAAGUCAAAGCAAUGAAACAUGACCCCGCCUCUUCCUCUCCUUUUCUCCUGUCCUAUUUUGAGGUUUCAGCAUAAGUGUCCAGAAUAGAAAAUUAUUUGCUUGCAGAUGCGAAUUGUGAAUGCCUUUAGUUUCCUGUUUAAUCUGGAGUUGUAUUGGUACAGGAACAGGCAGUGGGAAUUUUAAGUGUGCUCAGGUGUUUUAAAUGAGAGUUCAUGCUGUAACUCUACCACCUUUUCAAACUAAUAGAAAACUAACAAUGAUUGAGGGAGUGGGAAGAAAAAGAAUAUGUAUCAUAAAAAUUACUUUGGACACUUGUGUAUAACUUCAGACGUUAGAUUUCAUUUUGAGAAAUAAAUGCAGUGUCUCUCUGGUCAAAAUCUGUUUUACAUACAGUUCUACCUCCAGUGAUUUCUAGUUGCUGUAAGGAAAAAAUAAAUUCAUUAUUUAUUCAGCACAACUGUAACACACAGGACACAUUUUUAUCUGUGCACAGCUUCUUGGUACCUUAACAGCAUCAUUCCUGACAUUCAAGAAUGUGUGAAAAUACAGAACAGGUUGCUAUUUUUAUGAAGUAGAUUUAUACACAAACCACAUAGUUCUUUCUCUUUGGACUGCUGGUUACUCAUCCCCAGUCAUGAUCCUUACUCCAAACAACUUCUGUUUCUUUCAUUUCCCCCUUCUCACAAAUUCUUACUGUAGUAGCAAUGCCUCUGGCAAUAUUUCUCCUGUUGCUUUGAUAACGUCACAGCUUCCCUGGAGCAUUGUGCUGCGGUGCUGACUGUGACCUGCUCUGUGUAUCAAGGUCACUCAGCUGCCCUGCCCACGCUCUGUCCUCCUUGGGAGAGGCAGCACUGCCAGGGGCUGGAAAUCUGCCACUCUGGUGGUGAUUCCUGACCCAAACAGAUGUGCUUUCAGAUCGGAAGGAAUGUGAUUUCUGGAAGGGAGAUUGUCUAUUUAACACCCCUUCAAAAAAACAGCCUUGUCAUAAGUUGAAGAAAAUAAUAUUUUUGGAAACAUCUGCCUCAGUACAUCUGCAUGACUUCAAAAAUACUUUGGCAAGCAGUAUUCCAAGCUGGCUUGUUUGGGAAGGAAGGUACUAGAUGGGUUCUGAAAGGAUUAAUCUUUCUCACUGUGUGCUUCUGCUUUUCACAUUGCUGCUCUUUGGAACUUUUAAUGCUCAAGUUUGUGAACAAAUGAACAUCUGGACACUAGAACUGUAUGUGGUUGUAUCUCAUGCUGACUACUUAUGUCCAAAUAUUUUGCUACUGUUCUUUAAUGCUAGGA